UGGGUGCCUCUUAUUAUGCCUAUAAUGUAACUGACUCUUGAAGCUUGACUUAUUGUUCUGGAUUUGUAGCUGGUGAAAAGGAAGUCAAAAGUAAUUUCCAAAACCUGAUCUCUAGCAGAUGAAGACCUUGCAGAAAAGCAGUCAGUUUGAUGGUUGUGCAGGCAAGGAAAAAUCAUUUGGGACCAGAAAACUCUUUAGAGAAUGAAGACAGCAUUAAUGUGUUCCAAGACCAAGACACUGCUUCAAUUCCAGGUUUCUCUGGUUGCUUGCUGAGUGUACCUGUCCAGACGUGUGAGGCUUCCUGGAUGGCCAGCAGGCUGCAGUGGAUUUGCCUGAGUCUCAGGAUGGGAGGAGUCACCAGCACACAUUGUGUUACCUGUCACACUUUGUGGGACCCUUCACUAGCAAGGCAUGCAGGUCCCCCUCACCCCUACCACCAACAGCAUUCUUUCUCAGCGAUAUCAAAAUCCUUUCUAAAAUAGGAGUUGGAUGUGUAAUUUAAAACCUUUAUUCAGAAAUAACAAAGGAUCCCCAGUGUCCUUUCCCUUCAACAAGGCCUGGGAGAAAGUAGCUGGUACCAGUCUAUUGUUAAUACUCAUGAAAUUGGUACCUCAGAAGGGUAUUGGUGGAGAUAGCUUUCUUACUUCAGUUCCACUGAAGAUGUGCACUCCUUUUGUGGGAAUUCUGAGCCGUUCAGUGCUUCCAAAUUUCAUUAACUCUGCAGAUAAAGUUGUUGUCUUCUCCCUGAGCGAGCUCUCAUGGAUGUGUGCUGCUGGUGGCCUCAAGCUGGGAGUGACUGGCUUUUGGUGGGUGGCUCUUGGUGAACAGAGUGAAUGGCACACAGAUGCAGAACUCCAGAGGGGACAAGAGUGCCCUCACCUGUUAGGAGAGAAGAGUGCCCUCACCUGUUUCUGACUUAAUGCAUAAACAAACAAUU